rnacentral:lncRNA from 1 species
GUAGUCUAAUAUCAUGUUUAUAUUUUGUGUUUUUCUAAACGAUAAAAAUAAACGUGUCAUAGUAAUAUAUGAAUUUAUUUUGAAAUGUUUUAAACGUUUAACACUGUUUCUGUAAGAUAGUUUCAUUCAAAUGUUACAAGGGGAAAAAAACAAACAAAGAGACAUUUCAUUAAAUAAGUAAAACAAAAUAAGACAACAUUACUUAAAAACCAAGAGUAUGUGUAAUGGAUAAAUCUGA